UGUCUUCCAAAUACUAUCCUUGAAGUCCUCAAAUAUUCAUUUUGGUGUGUUCCUGGAAGCAGCGUUGCAGGAGGUGAAAGACCACUGCCUAGAUCAGGUAUUCAUGGAUGUCACAUUAGGAGAGUAAUAAAAAGACGUCAACUCACUCAGCAGACUAUAAUCCUCUCUGUGAAGUCAUGUGAGAAGUGGGCAAUGCACAUUUUAAGUUGCCCCAUUAUAUACUGGAGGGCUGUUUCACAAGUGAACUCAUAGAUUAGACAGAAGACCUAUGGCUAUAAGAAGGAGCAUAAGAAAUAGAUAUAAUCUCUGAUUUUAUUGAAACCUCAGUUUAUUCUGCAUGUAGACCUCAUUAUUUCUCUUAAGAAUCUGUGGACUUUGUAGGGUCUAUGAAGAGCCCAAUAAAUUGAAUAUGAAGUUGAUGUCAGAGUACUUAAGAAGGGCCUAGGCUGGAACAUGGGCCCUGGGACACUGGUCUUCCCCCUUCCCCCCACCCCCCAAGGUGGUUGUACCUGUGAUUGGGACUUAGGUUAGCUCUUUAGCUCUGGGAAAUGUCAAAACUGAAGUGAAACCAGUAGUUGGUCAGGUUGUGAGCCCUCAAUGAGGAUGACAUCAUCAUGAAGUGAGACCUGGAGUGCUGGUGGGUCCUUGCCUUGUCUUUUGUCAGAAAGUGAAUAUCAAUGGACCUAAAAGGGUGUAGACAUAUUGACAGAUUAUUGACAGAUUAUUAUUAUUAUUAUACAUAUUAUUAUAUGUAUAAUAAUAAUAUGUAUUAUAUGAUACAUAUAUAAUAUAAUAUGUAUAUAUAUAAUACAUAUAAUAUAAUAUGUAUUAUAUGUAUAAUAAUAUGUGUAAUAUUAUACAUAUUAUUGUCAAUAUGUAGACAUAUUGAUAGAUUCUAGAAGAAAGCCCUUGAGUCUCUUGGAAAACUAAGAUAGUAUAAUAUAUGUUAUUUCAGCACAACAAAACUCACCCUGCCCCUUCCUCUUGCAGGAAGUUUGGAGAGGAUUAGUUAACUCUUAUCAAGAGGAACACACCAAAUUUGGAGGUUAACAACAGUUAACAACCAAGUUAAUUAAGGUUAAUGGGAAUUUUAACCUUUUAGGAAGAGUAUCUUAUUCUUUCUGGAGACAGGACAGGAGAAGCCCUGGUUAAACUUCCUUCCUAUGUCACCAAUAACUACUUUGAGCAGAGGGGAAGGGACUAACCAAUUUAGAGGUGAAAUUAGCUGCUUCUCUUUAGUAGGUAGUCUUGGGUUACCCAGAAUAGAUCCUCUGAAUUAAAGGAACUACCUAGCAGGAAACAGUUGGCCAUAUUUAAAUAGUUUGUUUAGGAUUGUAUCACAUUAGUUUCCACUUUUCAUGAUGAGGGAAGGGAACUAGAAGGAACUACACACCAACAGGAUCUUCCUAUGGCCCCGACAACUAGAAAUAAUAUAUCCUCUACCAUGCCUCUUCUGAUGAGUACCACUUGGGAGGUUCAGCCAUACUUGGAUGUUCACCAAGGUAAGCAAGGCAUAGUACAUAUGUUUCAUCCUUGGCCUUGAGCUGAAUUGUACCCCCUUAGCUAAUGGCACAGUUUACUCACCAUGGAUUUUAAAGUCCACUGCUCCUCACUUAAGAACAGGAUGGUGUGAGAUGUUCAAGAUGUUUCAGGAAACCAAGUGUGCCAUCUGCAAGAAGAAAAUUAUAGCUCCAAGGAGGGAUGAGCCCUGCCCUUGAGUCACUUCUGGAUGAAACAUCUGCAGAGGGCCUGACUCACUGGCCAGAUGAAAAGAGAAGUGAAAGAAAACAAUCCAACAGAAGCCAGGAAGGAACAAUGCAAUAGAAGACAGGUAGGAGAAAAAAGAGGCAAAGAAAAAGGAAAAAUAUUGUAAAUAGAAAGCCCAAAAUAAAAUGGCAGAAAUAAAUACAAAUAUGUCAGUAAUUGUAAUAAAAUAAAACUUCAUGAGUCUUCUGUCAAAAGACAAAACUAUUCAAAAUUAAAUUUAAAAAGCAAUAUAUGUAGUUAAAAGGGAUAUACUUAAACAUAGAAGAAACUAAGACAUACGAAGAAACACUAGGCAUAUAUUAACCAAAAGAAAGCUGGUGUAGCAAUAUUAAUAUUACAUAAUCUAUACUAGGGGGAAACCAUUACUAAAAAGGUGGAAUUUAAUAUAAAAGGAGUAAUGCACCAAGUUACAAUUAUAAACUUGUAUGACCUAACCACAUAGCCUCAAAAUGUAAAAAGCUAAGAUUGAAAAUUACAAGAAAUGUUCAAGUCUAUAAAAAAAAAAAAAGGCCCACAGGGUAAAAGUAUAACAACUCAUACUAGACAUUAGCAUUUCAGUCUUUAAUGCUUACUACUAAGUGUAUCAUCACUGCUAAAUGUAGGGAAAAAAAAUUAUGGCAGUCAAGGUUUCGUGACUCUAAAACUUUGUCUUUUUCUAUCUAUACCUCUGUGAAAAUAACAGCUUGCUUUUUGAAUAUAACUGUCAGCCAAAUAUAUCUAUUCAGUAAGUCCUCUCUGGGUUACCAAAAGCGGGGAAUCACAUGGCCAUAAUUUUGCCAAAUUUUCUGUUAGUUCAGUAAUAAGUUGAGGGGAGAGAACCAACAGUUCUGUUUUCCUUAUUUGUGUUCUCUCAUUUAUUUUUCCCUUGAGGUAUUCAGCACCUUAAGGUACUCUUCUUGUGUUUAACCCAUUUAUGCCUGAGGUUGCAAUUUUUUGAAUUUUUGCAAUCAGACCUUGGCGAAGACCUUGAGCAGGAUAUAAAAUAACCCCCACAUGCUUGGCGUUCCAAUAAUGGAACUCUAGGUAUAAAUGGGCUAAUGAGAAACGGAGGUACAGAGAUUAAGCAACUUGGCUAGCGUUAUACAGCUUGUAAAACAGGAGAGCCUGGGACUCAAUCCUGUGUUAAUGCCAAAGCCUUAGCACCACCUUUAGUACCAACACCACAAUCAGUCAAUAUGUAUAUACUGAGGGCAUUGUUUUAAGUAUUGUGGGGAAGAGGAAGUAGUAUAAUGAGAUUUAAAGAUCUGAAGAUGAAAAGUCCAAAUAAGAACCUUGAACUGAAAUAGAUCAGUUAGUGUUUCAAGAUGAGGAAUCUGUUUGUUGAUAGCCAGAUUAUGAAACUGAUGAGUGCCAAAAUAGAAAUUCAGAAAAAUAUACUUACCUUUAUCAUGAAAUAUGGUAUAUUUCACUUUUGCUUUUAGUAUUUUCUUUUAUAUCCUAAAUCUGCUUAUGUGUGCUGUGCAAAUUGUUAAAAUUUUAAAUAACUGUAUAGUCCCUAUUUUUGUUUGUCCUUGUUUUCUUAUUUUGUUUCUUAAUUUUAGAAUGAUG
rnacentral:lncRNA from 1 species